UACGAAGGGGGCGAGCGUUGUUCGGAUUUACUGGGCGUAAAGGGCUCGUAGGUGGCCAACUAAGUCAGACGUGAAAUCCCCAGGCUCAACUUGGGAACUGCGUCUGAUACUGGAUGGCUUGAAUUCGGGAGAGGGAUGCAGAAUUCCAGGUGUAGCGGUGAAAUGCGUAGAUAUCUGGAGGAAUACCGGUGGCGAAGGCGGCAUCCUGGACCGAGAUUGACACUGAUGAGCGAAAGCUAGGGGAGCAAACGGG
rnacentral:rRNA from 1 species